GUCACCUCAAGUCUGAAUUCUGCCUUAAAAAAUUUUAAUUCGGGAUGCAGAAACGCACAAAGCCUAUCCCACAUGAUUUGCCUACUUGAACUCGGUGAAAACGAUCUAGUACCUCAUCAGGGAUCUCUGUCGUUGCUUAUGAGCUCACCGUAAUUGCGUGAGUAUCUUUACAUCAAUACAUUUCCGUGGCGGGGAAUGUGAUCCAACAAUCAUGAUUCCUUGGACAAUUUUGUUGUGAACAGAGAUUAAAAUUGGUAGAUGUCACCACUUACCGUGACCCAUGAAAACUGUGCCGGCCAGCCCGGCCUUUAAGCCGCAUUCAUUAUUUAUUGACAAUGACUAGCAGUUUGGCAGUUGCCAGAAACGAGAUCAACUUAUUCUUAAGAUUUAAUCCGUGGCUAUAAUAAUCUUUAACUGAAAGCUAGAGCUGUGUACACUUGUUUAUUUCCUUCAGCUUUGAAAUGGCUGAUCGAAGCCGAGCACCAAUGUACGGUUUGGCCGUUCUUCUUGUUGCGUUUGCCUUAAAAGAUUUCUUCCUUCCAGCUGAAGUUCAGCCAGAACAAAAUUCGUUGCAAUCCAAGGAGAUUCCUAGCUUGCAUCUUAAUCGAUUUGUUGGACCUUCGAUCAAGUUCACCUUUUGUUCUUCCUGAGGUUAUCGCAAAGUGUUUGAACAGUAUGCUGCAAUUCUCGAACAGAAGUAUCCAUCUUUGGCAAUUGAAGGGUUGAAUCAUCCUCCACCCUUCUUAAACCAAAAGAUUGCUCAAUUUCUGGGAAUUGUGAAAAUACUGCUCAUACUUCUGGUAGUUUCUGGUACCAACAUUUUCCAGCAUUUAGGUGUACAAACUCCUUCAGUUUGGGAAUGGACUCAGCAGAACAAAUUCUAUGCUUGCUUGAUGACUUUCUUUCUAUG